AUGGGAGGAGACCACAGGGAUUGCCCUAGUAACGGCGAGUGAAGCGGCAACAGCUCAAAUUUGAAAUCUGGCUUCGGCCCGAGUUGUAAUUUGUAGAGGAUGCUUUUGGUGCGGUGCCUUCUGAGUUCCCUGGAACGGGACGCCACAGAGGGUGAGAGCCCCGUAUAGUUGGACACCAAGCCUCUGUAAAGCUCCUUCGACGAGUCGAGUAGUUUGGGAAUGCUGCUCAAAAUGGGAGGUAAAUGCCUUCUAAAGCUAAAUACUGGCCAGAGACCGAUAGCGCACAAGUAGAGUGAUCGAAAGAUGAAAAGCACUUUGAAAAGAGGGUUAAACAGCACGUGAAAUUGUUGAAAGGGAAGCGCUUGUGACCAGACUUGCGCCAGGUGGAUCAUCCAGCGUUCUCGCUGGUGCACUCUGCCUGGUUCAGGCCAGCAUCGGUUUUCUCAGUGGGAUAAAGGCUCUGGGAAUGUAGCUCCCCCGGGAGUGUUAUAGCCCGUUGCACAAUACCUCUGAGGGGACCGAGGUUCGCGCACUGCAAGGAUGCUGGCGUAAUGGUCAUCAGCGGCCCGUCUUGAAACACGGACCAAGGAGUCAAGCAUUAGGGCGAGUGUUUGGGUGCAAAACCCGCACGCGUAAUGAAAGUGAACGUAGGUGAGAGCUUCGGCGCAUCAUCGACCGAUCCUGAUGUAUUCGGAUGGAUUUGAGUAAGAGCCUUACCGCUUGGACCCGAAAGAUGGUGAACUAUGCUUGUAUAGGGUGAAGCCAGAGGAAACUCUGGUGGAGGCUCGCAGCGGUUCUGACGUGCAAAUCGAUCGUCAAAUAUGAGCAUGGGGGCGAAAGACUAAUCGAACUAUCUAGUAGUGGUACGAGAAAUUCCCCCC
rnacentral:rRNA from 1 species